rnacentral:rRNA from 1 species
GACGAACGCUGGCGGCGUGCCUAAUACAUGCAAGUAGAACGCUGAAGGAAGGAGCUUGCUCUUUCUGGAUGAGUUGCGAACGGGUGAGUAACGCGUAGGUAACCUGCCUGGUAGCGGGGGAUAACUAUUGGAAACGAUAGCUAAUACCGCAUAAAAUUGAUUAUUGCAUGAUAGUCAAUUAAAAGGUGCAACUGCACCACUACCAGAUGGACCUGCGUUGUAUUAGCUAGUUGGUGGGGUAACGGCUCACCAAGGCGACGAUACAUAGCCGACCUGAGAGGGUGAUCGGCCACACUGGGACUGAGACACGGCCCAGACUCCUACGGGAGGCAACAGUAGGGAAUCUUCGGCAAUGGACGGAAGUCUGACCGAGCAACGCCGCGUGAGUGAAGAAGGUUUUCGGAUCGUAAAGCUCUGUUGUAAGAGAAGAACGAGUGUGAGAGUGGAAAGUUCACACUGUGACGGUAUCUUACCAGAAAGGGACGGCUAACUACGUG